rnacentral:rRNA from 1 species
CCUCAGUAACGGCGAGUGAAGCGGCAACAGCUCAAAUUUGAAAUCUGGCCCCAGGCCCGAGUUGUAAUUUGCAGAGGAUGCUUUUGGCAAGGUGCCUUCCGAGUUCCCUGGAACGGGACGCCAUAGAGGGUGAGAGCCCCGUCUGGUCGGACACCGAGCCUCUGUAAAGCUCCUUCGACGAGUCGAGUAGUUUGGGAAUGCUGCUCAAAAUGGGAGGUAUAUGUCUUCUAAAGCUAAAUACCGGCCAGAGACCGAUAGCGCACAAGUAGAGUGAUCGAAAGAUGAAAAGCACUUUGAAAAGAGAGUUAAAUAGCACGUGAAAUUGUUGAAAGGGAAGCGUUUAUGACCAGACUUGGCCCGGUUGAUCAUCCAGCGUUCUCGCUGGUGCACUCUGCCGGUCCAGGCCAGCAUCAGUUCGUCGCGGGGGAUAAAGGUUUCGGGAAUGUGGCUCCUCCGGGAGUGUUAUAGCCCGUUGCGUAAUACCCUGCGGUGGACUGAGGUCCGCGCUCUGCAAGGAUGCUGGCGUAAUGGUCAUCAACGACCCGUCUUGAAACACGGACCAAGGAGUCGUCUUCGUAUGCGAGUGUUCGGGUGUAAAACCCCUACGCGUAAUGAAAGUGAACGCAGGUGAGAGCUUCGGCGCAUCAUCGACCGAUCCUGAUGUUCUCGGAUGGAUUUGAGUAAGAGCAUACGGGGCCGGACCCGAAAGAAGGUGAACUAUGCCUGUAUAGGGUGAAGCCAGAGGAAACUCUGGUGGAGGCUCGCAGCGGUUCUGACGUGCAAAUCGAUCGUCAAAUAUGGGCAUGGGGGCGAAAG